rnacentral:rRNA from 1 species
GACGAACGCUGGCGGCGUGCUUAACACAUGCAAGUCGAACGAAGAGCGAUGGAAGCUUGCUUCUAUCAAUCUUAGUGGCGAACGGGUGAGUAACGCGUAAUCAACCUGCCCUUCAAAGGGGGACAACAGUUGGAAACGACUGCUAAUACCGCAUACGAUCUAACCUCGGCAUCGAGGAUAGAUGAAAGGUGGCCUCUACAUGUAAGCUAUCACUGAAGGAGGGGAUUGCGUCUGAUUAGCUAGUUGGAGGGGUAACGGCCCACCAAGGCGAUGAUCAGUAGCCGGUCGGAGAGGAUGAACGGCCACAUUGGGACUGAGACACGGCCCAGACUCCUACGGGAGGCAGCAGUGGGGAAUCUUCCGCAAUGGACGAAAGUCUGACGGAGCAACGCCGCGUGAGUGAUGACGGCCUUCGGGUUGUAAAGCUCUGUUAAUCGGGACGAAAGGCCUUCUUGCGAAUAGUUAGAAGGAUUGACGGUACCGGAAUAGAAAGCCACGGCUAACUACGUG